AGUAGAUCGAUUCAGUUGAAACUGAUGCAGACACCAGGAGACAGACACCCUUUUAUACCAGUGAGUCUUUUCAAAUGAUAUUGCAGGGGGAUCAUGGUGUGCCGUUGUAUUGUAGUAUCUGUACCACUCACAGAUAAACGAUCGUUACUAACUUGGCCGCCCUGGGAAUUGGAAAUGCACGAGAUCCAGAGAUCAUACGUCAAGCAGCGACACCAUUCAAGACCUUCUACAUAGAAAAAAAAAAACAAAGUAUUUCACCUAAGGACAUAUUCAGCAACUCCACAGGACUUUUUUGUCCAAAACAAUUUUUCAAGAAUUUCUUAUCCAACUUUCGUGCAAUCUUAAACAUUCUUAAUCGGUGCGAUUAAGAGACUUAAUUUCAUGUUUAUUAUAUAAAAUUGCUCUGAUUGUUUUGAACUACUUUUCUAAUGGAAGAUUUAGGUUUUUUUUUAUCUUGACCCAAUUAGUCUUGAGAAACAAAAGUGCAUCUAAUGAUUCUCAUAGUUGGGCCUAUGAAGAUAAAAAUGUCUCAUUUGCUGUUCUCAAAUUUCAUGGAAGGGUCUCACUUUCACUGUCAGGUAUGGUACUGGUUUUUGGUUGCAGUGCUAUAUAAAAAUGCAGAUCUGUCUUUUCCAUCGUCCGGUAUUGCACUUCCUCUAUGGAGCAAAGGACCGUAUCCUGGCCCUGAGGCCUUUAUUCACUCUCGGCAAUCUUACGCAGUCCUGCCACUCGUUACACGCUGAUUUGCGACAUGAUCAAUUUUACAUUGCGAAAUGGGUCCCCAAAGGUCGCUGUUUCUACCUUUAUACCUUUAUUUUUUAAGCAUUGCAAACAAGUACCACUAUAAGGAAUACCGGAUACGUUAAUUUAUUGAUCAAAAAUAAUUUCUUGAAUAUUCCAUGAUUAACUUAUGAUUAUGUAAUAGGCGUAACACUUUGCAUGACAGUUAUUAUUUCAUUUUAAUAAUCCUAUUUGUAAUAGAAUCUCUACCGUGGUUAUAAGCUGAGGAUUACAUAUGAUAUCAAUAAAAAAAAAAGAAUAAAAGGGAACUUGAGAUCAGUUAUCUAAGCACGACGAAGUUCUUAGUUUAUAUUAUACAUAUAUUCGUGGGAAAUUGUUAAAUUUGUGACAAGUAACGUUACAGAAUUUAAUAUUAAUUAUAAUAAAUUUCAUAUUUUUAAUAGCACGACAAUUUAUUUGUAAAAAUACAUUUUAUUCGCCAUUGGCCAGUGCCUUAUUCAAUAUGUGUAUACAUAUAAUUUAAUAUAAGUUCCACAUAAUCAAGGUACUACGACAUUAAUAACGUUAACUUACAAAAAACAAGUCUUGCUCAUUUCUACCCAUCACAGUAGAUUAUUGUAUUGAUACGCUUGAAUUUUUAAUAAUGAACCGAUGACAAUUAUGUUAGAAAUAAAUUAACGAUGACAAUAUACACUGAUGCAAGUAUUAAUUAAUACUAAGCUUAAACAAUCUAAAUCUGACAAUUAAAUCUGAAUAUUGCAGUUACAGAUAAUGAUGCAGCGUAACAUUCGGAUCAUCGGUUGCACCUAAACGGCUUAUCGACUUAUCAGCUACACCGAACGAGUACGGAUCAAUAUAGAAAAUUAAAACAUUAAUCAUUGUUAUUUUGAAACACAGCCCAUUAUGAGGAUACGCAAGUACAGGUUCUACCAAAACUUUUGGAUCGUGUCUGUGUACAAUGAUCUGAUGAAUAUUUGGUGCCACCAACGUAAACUUUCUACUGUCAAAUAUCAUUGGUUUGCGAUGCACCAUCAUUGACUUCUGAUGGGACACUGACUUGUGAUUGAAUAACAAACCGCCAUGACCAUCAAUCACCGUCUUACGUUGUGGUUCUUCCAAACGUAAAUGCUUCUCAUCCAAAACCACUUUGGCAGCGUGAUCUACCAGGAUUUCCUUGUGAUCCAAUAUCACCUUGGGAUGAAUCACUUCUAUCUUGUGAACGAUUGAAGCUAACGUUGGUACCGUACCUGAUUUUGGUACUAUUGGUAUAUUCUUGAUGAAGAUGUUCUGUCUGACCACAGCAGGGAUGUCGAUAUUUUUACCAUGAUGCUGUUGAAGUUCAAAGGACACGUAUCCAACCUCCAAUG